CCUACGUGCGGCAGCAGUGAGGAAUAUUGGUCAAUGGCCGUAAAGCUGAACCAGCCAAGUAGCGUGAGGGAAGACUGCCCUAUGGGUUGUAAACUUCUUUUAUAAAGGAAUAAAACGAGGCACGUGUGCCUUUUUGCAUGUACUUUAUGAAUAAGGAUCGGCUAACUCCGUGCCAGCAGCCGCGGUAAUAUGGAGGAUCCGAGCGUUAUCCGGAUUUAUUGGGUUUAAAGGGAGCGUAGAUGGGUUGUUAAGUCAGUUGUGAAAGUUUGCGGCUCAACCGUAAAAUUGCAAUUGAUACUGGCAGUCUUGAGUACAGAUGAGGUAGGCGGAAUUCGUGGUGUAGCGGUGAAAUGCUUAGAUAUCACGAAGAACCCCGAUUGCGAAGGCAGCUUACUAAACUGUGACUGACAUUGAUGCUCGAAAGUGUGGGUAUCAAACAGGAUUAGAUACCCUGGUAGUC
rnacentral:rRNA from 1 species